AUUUAAUUAUCUUUUUUUUUUUUUUUUUUUUUUUUUUUUUUCUGGAACAAGCUAAAUUCAAGUUUUCAGUUGCAUUCUUUUACGAUAUAAGUUUUUGGAACCUGGUUUGUAAUAAGAUCAAUCAAAAAAGCUACUUCUUAAGUACUUUCUAUAAAAUUUAUGAUUUUCCAUGGUAACGCUCAACCUCUAUACAAGUUAAGUUGGUAGCCAUGUGAGAUAGUCUUAACAGAAAAAAUUGGAGUUGGAUCUUUAAGAAUUUCUCUUCAGCAGUCCUUUGAUUAUUAAAUGAAAUGUACAUAUUGUAAUAGGCAUCGGGUUGGUGUUUUUUGACUGGAUUGAGAGGAAUGUAGAGUGUUAACGGGGGUUGCAAAUCUAGUGCUAAAUAUGGCAUGAUUUUCAUUGUACUGAUUUUACUCUUUAUUAUUAUUAUUAUUAUUAUUAUUAUUGCUUUGGACUGUAUUUUGAUAUUUUUGUCUAUUUAUGCCGAUAAUCAUUACAAAACUCUUCAAAAUGGUGUGAGAACUACCAAGUUUCGUUUAGGGGUACCGGAAACAAAAAACCAUAUUUAUACAAGUUAAGCAUAGAAUAGAAUACGUGGCUGACAAGCUUAGAAAAAUGUUGGUAAGUUGAUGUUUUUGCUGACCAUGUAGCAAGGCAUAUUCUCCUCAUUUAAAUUAGAAACAUGGUGCUCUGUUUGAUGUUUACGGCUGUUUGAAACAGGGUUAUUGCAGAGUACCUCUCUUGUAAUCUUCCUUAAAAAUUAUUGCCAGAUGAUGUCUAUAUUGCCCUAGGAUGCAAAGAUGUAUCGAGACCAUAUUGACAAUUCUAGCUCAUCCUGUUGCCAAUAUUCUGCUUCCUAGACCUUGCUACCCUCGCUAAGUAGGUCAAGCAGAUUUUUGUAAUCUUGGAGUUAGCUAUUUUGAUCUAUUACCAGAAAAAAGUUGGGAGGCUGAUCUUGAUGCCUGUAAAGUUCUUGUUGAUGUGAAUACUAUUGCUUUGGUUAUCAUCAAUCGUAGAAAUCCCUGUUCAAAUGCUUACUUCUACCAACACACUUGAAGAAUGUAUGGCUUUCCCAUUGUAUAAGCUUUAAUGGAUAUGGUUAAUGCUUACAGUUGUGGUUUUGGCGUCAAGUUGGCUGCUAAUUUCUUGAACCUUAGGAUGCGGAGACUGCAAAAGAGCUUAUGAUCCCUGUGAUUGCAGAUAAAGUUUAUAGCCAUAUAGUAUAUGGAAGUAAUACUUUUGUUCUAAUGGGCGUAUUUGCUUCAACGGUGUCUGUUAUCACUCUCGGAUCUAUCUUAAAGAGUUGGACGGUACCUGGUUGGCUACUUGGUUGGCUUAUUACGAGUGAUCCUACCUGGUCUUUCCAAAAGUUGGAGUAGCAAUUCUAUUUUCUCAAUAAGCUGUUUGAAAAAAUACUAAAUAUGCAUACAGGCCUUCUAGAAGAAUAUAAAUGCUUCCAAUAUGUUGUUAAAUGGGGUGAAAUGGAAAAUUUACUUCUUUAUUUUCUUGCCAGAUUGAUGAGUCAAUCAAGAGCCACCUCGGUAUCUGUCCUCGCCAUGCAACCUUCAUUUAGCUGUGGGGCAGUUCCGAAAGCGUGUUGAGAAAACACCAGAAGAUUUCUUCUUAAGAAUUAACCAUAUACUGAAGGAAGGUUCAGAAAUUUGUUGGAAUAGAAUCAAGAAGUUUCCAUGCAGUUCCGUACCAUAUAAGCCUGAAGGUGAAGUUAAAUCUGUCAUUAUGAGAAGACAUUACUGAUGAUGUAGAAUUCUGUCUCAAGCUACCUAAAGAGGAAUCUGUCAUUGUCCUACCAGAGUAAGCAUGACAUACUUUUUGAUAUCCUUCAAUCGUUUUGCUUACAAUCUGUUUCCAUUUUAUUCCAUUAUGUAUAUCUUUUCUCUUUUUGAUUGGUUCAGAAUAAGCUUUUUGAUACAUUUUUCUUUAGUUUUUUUCCUAGGCUAGCUAGUCAAUGCAUUAAAUGUGAUUCCAUGAUGGUAAAUUUUGAUACAAAAUGCUAACAAGGAAUUUGUUUAGUCUAAUAAAAAUCUUGACUCAGAGGGUAUCAUUGGAAUGAAGGACUGGUUCCCCCUAAAUUUUGGCACUAAGCAUUGACUUGUUGAAGAUAGUUUAGCAAGAAUCAAAGCCUUCUACCAAAGACAUGCAAAAGUUAUACUUUGGCAAGAAUCAAAGCCUUCUACCAAAGACAUGCAAAAGUGUAGUAAGGUUGUUUUUGUGAAUUUGUCAUUCAAAUCACAAGUACAAAGGGUUAUGAUGAAUAGUUAGUUGUUGCUUUUGAUGUUAAUAUGUCAAUUUUUGUUUUUCAAAAUACUCUCUCUUAGUUUUGUCUCACAUGGAUCGAGCUGGACCAUUUUAAAUUGAGUAUUAUAAAAAAUUUAAAAUAGUCUAGUCUAAUCUAAUCUGUUAUUAAGUCAAUAUAUAAAAUCAUUGUAUAGUGUUGGUCUGUCCACAUGUACCAAAACUGAUCUACUUUAGGACUUCAUUUUUUAAAUUUCAGAUCUCACAUUUUGCUAUAGUUUUGGACUCAUAUUUCUGCAAGCUUCCAAAGUUAUCUACCACAAAUAUAUGUAGCAGCUUUUCUGCUUCUUGCUACAGCAAAAUCAAAUUUGAGUUUGAUUUGGUGCUCUAUAUAUGUGAUGAUGAUACAGGACAAUUUAACA